AGUGAACGCUGGCGGUAGGCCUAACACAUGCAAGUCGAACGGCAGCACAGGAGAGCUUGCUCUCUGGGUGGCGAGUGGCGGACGGGUGAGGAAUACAUCGGAAUCUGCCCAGUCGUGGGGGAUAACGUAGGGAAACUUACGCUAAUACCGCAUACGACCUUCGGGUGAAAGAGGGGGAUCGCAAGACCUCUCGCGAUUGGAUGAGCCGAUGUCGGAUUAGCUAGUUGGCGGGGUAAUGGCCCACCAAGGCGACGAUCCGUAGCUGGUCUGAGAGGAUGAUCAGCCACACUGGAACUGAGACACGGUCCAGACUCCUACGGGAGGCAGCAGUGGGGAAUAUUGGACAAUGGGCGCAAGCCUGAUCCAGCCAUACCGUGUGGGUGAAGAAGGCCUUCGGGUUGUAAAGCCCUUUUGUUGGGAAAGAAAUCUUUCAGGCUAAUACCCUGGGAGGAUGACGGUACCCAAAGAAUAAGCACCGGCUAACUUCGUG
rnacentral:rRNA from 1 species